AUUGGUUCCCGAGUAAUAUUAUAUCCACUGCUCACCUUUAAGGUGAAGUGUACAACUGUUCAUUUGUGGAUGGAACUUUAAUUGUAAUUAUAGCUGCAGCGCAGCGAUGGGUCGGGUCCGCGCAUUUUUAGGCAAUUCUGAGCAACAAGCAGAAAAACUGGAAGACAUCUAGGAAUUUAGCAACACAAUCUGCCUUUUGCAUCAGCUGAGGCUUGAACUCACAACCUCUGAGACUAAAAAUCAAUUUCUAUCUCACUGAGCUAAUUAGUCAGUGACAAUUCAUGCGUAGCUUCAAAAAUUGACUAAGCCAGACGUGCAGGUUUAGCAGCCGUCCAUGCAUGGUAAAGCAGAUUUCAAACCACUGUAAAAAAUUCAGUUAUUGAAACAAAAAUCUGAAAAUACACAUAUUGCAUCUAGACAGCAUGGAGAUGUUGGUAAUUUAUUUUAACAAUGAUUUAUUGGCUCCAUAAGUGAAAAACUGAUCUUUAAAAUUGCCAUUUUUACAUUGACUCACAUCAUCUACCAUGACUCCUGAAUUUUGUCAUUUUCAUGAACACUGAAGAUUUAUUUAGCAAGAAUUUGCAUGUAUAUGUUUACAGUACCGUGUACAGUCAAACAUUUUGAUGCACUGUAGGCUCAAUUUUUGAUAAAUCAAAAAUCUGAGAAACAUAGUUUUUGUAGGACAGUCUGAAGAUGCUCUGUAGCAAGUUUGGUGUCAAUUGAGCAAAAAUUGUGGAAGGAGAUAGGUUUAAGAAGUUUUACAGUUUUUGAAAAAAAAACAGAGUGAUGAACUUCAUAAUUUUUAAUAGGUUAUGUACAAAAGUUUCUUAAGUAUUGGGGCUACAGUUUGAUGAAAGUUGUUAAGUUGUAGCACGUAUGGUUGAUUUGUUAUGAAUUUUCAAAGUUUUGAAAUUUGGACGCUUGCUGUAGUGCCACCAUCAGGACUAUUGGCUUGAGUUUACAGCUGAGGAUAUCUGGCAUGAGACUGGACCUUUGUGCAAAGUUUGGUGAGUUUUCACCCAUGGGAAGUAUGAUUUCCUCGGAAUACCUUGGAUUACUGGCAGCUUAGCUGCCCGGACCCUAAUUAUGACAGAUUCAUUUGCGCAGCAAGUGUAUAUUUUUAGAUUACUUACGCAAUCAGUUGGUCUGCAAUUGUUUGCCACACACUCUCUCUGCUUUAUUAUCGCUGCAGUGUUUCCUUUCUUCAUGAUUAUAUGUUUUACCUCUUCAUAAGUGUCCAUGAUGAGACGCUGCUCACUGGGUGAGAAGUAUGCGGCACGCAUCCUCUCCAUUGCUGCAUCGGUGAAUCUGUGAUCGAUCUCGGGGUCCAUUUAAGAAAGCCAAGGACGCGCACUUAUCCGAAUGAGUCACACCUGGCUUGACAAAGCCGCGCCUCCUCAGCCUGGCUUGGCGUUCGAACAACCAAUUAAGCCAGGAUGGACUUAGGGGAAUUUGUCCAGCCUCGCUUUUCCACUUAUCCUGGAUUGGUUAAUUCUACUUUCCAGCAACAGGCCCCUGCGCUACCCUGACUAAAACGUACUUACACAAGGCGCUGCAAAAAAUUAGGCCAAUAGAAUCAUUAAAGAUCAAAACCACCCAGAAAGCGGCCUUUUCUCCCUAUUGAGGUCGAGAAGAGGGUACCAUUUCAGCAGGCAGCACUGAGAGGCUCAGGAGGAGCUUCUACCCUCUGGACACAAGAAUCCUUAUGAGACCCUGUCUAAAGGCUUUGCACAUUGAGUCCAUUUGUUUGGUAUGUGUUUUUUAAAUCCGUCAUCCAAAACCAAAAAACAUUACACAGAGAAACCUUGCACGCUGAGUUUGAUGCAUUUACUGUUGUUUUACUGUGAGAAAAACUGCAAUACAAGAUAAAAUGAAAAAAGGACAUUGCUUCUCUUGGAGUUACCUAUCUGGCUGUCACCACUCUCCCCAUGUGUAUUGUGUGACCUGUUCCUCUAUCUUGUCACAGAUGUGUUCCACCACCACAUUUUCCUCACCGCUUCUUACUCAAACAACUCUCUAAAGGCUUUUGACAGAUGCAGUAAAAAUGCAGAAAAUCGAACUGUUCUGAAAACUCUGAAAAGAUGGAUGAAAAUUUUGGAGUCAGUGCGCAAACGUGAUUGACACAACGUGAGGUCAUGUUAAUUUUAGAUGUGCAACAAUUUCAGAUGACACUGGAUAGGAAACAGGAACUGGAACUGACAGAUUAUAUAUCACUGAAAUGGUAUUCAUAUGAUUUCAUGUGACAAACAAAUUGAUGGACUGAUUGCUAGCUACUGUACAUUUAAAAGGGAAGCUCAUUUUAAAAGUUUUCCUAGAUGAUGAUCGUAUACUAACAUCACAACCUAAGGCCAUGUUUCCACUGGACACAGAAGCGCUGUGAUAUGACAACUGUCAUGCGAGCAUUCCACUGGCUGUUUAUACCAGAGGAACGUUUCUCCAAGCCGGUCAGCAAGUGAUCUGCUCCUCUGUUAUUUUCUAUUCACAUAUAUAGCUCUGUCUCUGUCUGCUUGUGUGUGUGUGUGUGUGUGUGUGUGUGUGUGUGUGUGUGUGUCUCUCUCUCUCUCUUGCUCUCUGUUUAGACACAUUUGACAAAAUGUGGUAUAAAUAAGCAUGGGGUG